rnacentral:rRNA from 1 species
UGCGUAGGUGGUUGUUUAAGUCUGUCGUGAAAGCCCUGGGCUCAACCUGGGAAUUGCGAUGGAAACUGGGCGACUAGAGUGUGGCAGAGGGUAGUGGAAUUCCUGGUGUAGCAGUGAAAUGCGUAGAGAUCAGGAGGAACAUCCGUGGCGAAGGCGACUGCCUGGGCCAACACUGACACUGAGGCACGAAAGCGUGGGAGCAAACA